rnacentral:sRNA from 1 species
UAAGAUGUUGCUCUGACCGUGUCUAGA